rnacentral:rRNA from 1 species
GUAGGGAAUAUUGCCCAAUGGGCGAAAGCCUGAGGCAGCAACGCCGCGUGUGCGAUGAAGGCCUUCGGGUCGUAAAGCACUUUUUGAGGAGACGAGGAAGGACGGUAUCCUCAGAAUAAGGAUCGGCUAACUACGUGCCAGCAGCCGCGGUAACACGUAGGAUCCGAGCGUUAUCCGAAUUCACUGGGCGUAAAGCGCAUGCAGGCGGUUCGAUAAGUUGGAUGUGAAAUCUCCUGGCUCAACUGGGAGAGGGCGUUCAAUACUGUUGGACUAGAGUACGGUAGAGGGAGGUGGAAUUCCCGGUGUAGUAGUGAAAUGCGUAGAUAUCGGGAGGAACACCAGAGGCGAAGGCGACCUCCUGGACCGUUACUGACGCUCAGAUGCGAAAGCUAGGGGAGCGAACGGGAUUAGAAACCCCAGUAGUCC